UACGAAGGGGGCUAGCGUUGUUCGGAAUCACUGGGCGUAAAGGGCGCGUAGGCGGCCGAUCAAGUCGGGGGUGAAAGCCUGUGGCUUAACCACAGAAUGGCCUUCGAUACUGUUUGGCUUGAGACCGGAAGAGGUUAGUGGAACUGCGAGUGUAGAGGUGAAAUUCGUAGAUAUUCGCAAGAACACCAGUGGCGAAGGCGGCUCACUGGCCCGGUACUGACACUGAGGUGCGAAAGCGUGGGGAGCAAACAGG
rnacentral:rRNA from 1 species